rnacentral:rRNA from 1 species
CCUACGGGGGGCAGCAGUGGGGAAUAUUGCACAAUGGGGGAAACCCUGAUGCAGCGACGCCGCGUGGAGGAAGAAGGUCUUCGGAUUGUAAACUCCUGUCCUUGGGGACGAUAAUGACGGUACCCAAGGAGGAAGCACCGGCUAACUACGUGCCAGCAGCCGCGGUAAAACGUAGGGUGCAAGCGUUGUCCGGAAUUACUGGGUGUAAAGGGAGCGCAGGCGGAUUGACAAGUUGGGAGUGAAAACUACGGGCUCAACCCGUAACCUGCUUUCAAAACUGUCAGUCUUGAGUGGUGUAGAGGUAG